rnacentral:rRNA from 1 species
UAACCUGCCCAAGAGAUCGGGAUAACACCUGGAAACAGAUGCUAAUACCGGAUAACAACAGAUGAUGCCUAUCAACUGUUUAAAAGAUGGUUCUGCUAUCACUCUUGGAUGGACCUGCGGUGCAUUAGCUAGUCGGUAGGGUAACGGCCUACCAAGGCGAUGAUGCAUAGCCGAGUUGAGAGACUGAUCGGCCACAUUGGGACUGAGACACGGCCCAAACUCCUACGGGAGGCAGCAGUG